rnacentral:tRNA from 1 species
GGGAGCGGAUGGGUAGCUGGUGCGCCUCGCGGUCUUCAAAACCGAGUGCGUCGGAUGGUGUCCGAUGGGUGGGUUCGAUUCCCACACGUUCCCGCCA